GCCCGGAAUCUGUCCGCUACCAAAGUUUGAUCGGAGUCCGAUCUCUGUAGAAGCCCGGAUGGGGGAUCGUUUGUUGAGGAAUCUCGGCUGAAGCCUGCCUGCAAUAGAAAUCUGGAAGGAAAUCAUCCACAAUGGAAGCUCGGGUGAAGGCUUACAGUGAAAAUCUGGUGCGGACCGCUCGUAGUAGAAAUUUAAAGUAGAUCGUCCGUAGCAGAAGCUCGGAGUGAAUUGCUUGCAGUAGAAACUCGGAGUCCGGCCCUUGUAGGAGUUCGGAUGAAGUCUACC
rnacentral:lncRNA from 1 species